rnacentral:rRNA from 1 species
AGUCACUGACAUUAGAUACCCCUGUAGUCCCAGCCGUAAACAAUGUGCGUUAGGUGUGUCGGUAACCACGCGUUACUGAUGCGCCGAAGAGAAAUCGUGAAACGCACCACCUGGGAAGUACAGUCGCAAGGCUGAAACUUAAAGGAAUUGGCGGGGAGCACCACAACAGGUGGAGCCUGCGGUUUAAUUGGAUUCAACGCCGGACAUCUCACCGGAUAAGACAGCUGAAUGAUUGUCAAUCUGAAGGUUUUACAUGACUAGCUG